UCCCUGGUGGUCUAAUGGUUAGGAUCUGGUGCUCCCAUCUCUGAAGCCCAGGUUCAAUCCCUGAUCUGGGAA
rfam:Sus scrofa chromosome 7.